UUUAACGCUUCACUCGCUGGUGCCGUUUCAGGAUUUGGAAACUUUUUGUCAUUUUUCAACGCAAACAAACGAGAUGUCAAUACAAGCAGCAAUUUUUCAAGGUUUACAAAGGCAUGAUCCCUCAUCUCACGAAUGAGACCUGGGGGAAAAAAAUCGUAAACUUCUGGACAACUUUCAGGUACACUCCAAAGCUAAUAAACAUAAAAACGAAUACAUUAGUAAAAGCGUCUUACACAAGUUAAUAAAAAAAAUUUCAUACAGAAACCCAAACUUCAUCAUCCAACGGUAUAUCCUACUAGAAUUAGCUUGCAAUGUUCUCUUAGCGUAUCAUCCACCCAUAAACACAAACCGUACCGGUUGAGAAGCUAAUCUUGCAAUUCCUCGCUGAAAUGCCAAUCUAAACAGUUAGCUCAUACGAAAAUUUCGCAAUGUUACUUACUUUGACUCUUGGCCUCCCAUAUUCUCUAAUUAGAUGCGAAAACCGUAAAGUGCUCUUGACAAACGCUGCAGCUUCAUCGAUAAUCGUUAGGUACUAGUAGACCCGUCCAUGUGUAUACUUUAUUCGCGCGCUAAGUUUCCAAAAGAUGCAUUAUUUCAUAUUGCGAAAUUUUAUUAUUGCUCGAGUUAAUUUGUUAGCUCUACCGUACAUUUAAUGAUCGUUAGCAUUACGACGAAUUUUCACAUUUACAGUCAAUGCACUAUGACUCACUAUUUGGUAAACACUUUUUAGCAAACUGCAAUUUGUUAGGAGGCAGGGUAAGGAAAACAAUUGAUUACCAUCACGAAAUGAGAAUUAAGGAAGAAAUACAGCUUGUCAAAGAGACUUCAGCUACCUGCUGAACUGCAUUUAAAUGUUUGUGAGUUUUUGGUUUCUACUCGUUAUCUCAUAAUUACCGUGCCAUCAGAUAAACCUCAAAGGUUUCUCAGUUAUAAAAAAAACAAGGAAACUGUAUAGCUGUAAACAAUUCAUCUACUGUAUAACUCACGCGGCAAAACCACAUGAGACAUCUGUCGAAGCAAACAAUGAUAUAUUUACAUGUUCAGUAGAUGAAUCGCUAGACUAUGCCGUGAUAUGUUAGAGUUCCUUAUAUUAUAUACAAUGAAGUACAUUAUAAAU